CCGUAGCACUUUUGCAAUGUUUUUGUCCAACUGCAGUGAUUAAGUAAGCAGUGAGUAAGAUGACUAACAUAUCAUGAGAUGUAGAUCCAAUAUUUAAUCUUACAGCUGCUGUCUCACCAGUUAACAGAUUUACGGACUUUCUAACCAAAUAUUUUGAUUAUCCGUGAAGUAGCCCAUAUUUUCCUAUCCUGCAGAAAUCCUGAGUGUUAGUGGUUUGAGGUUCGUGAAGCUCCGAGUCAUGGGAUAGUUGUGGAAGUCGCUGUAACGUUAGUUAGCUCAAGCUAGUGCUGUUAUUAUAGCAGCUAGAUGAAUAACAAUGGCACAGAUGUAUUGAGAACACCAGUCUUAAGUUCGCCAGGAAACCAGGAGGGGAAAAGCGCCGCAUGCUUCAUCAUCACCGCCCCUUCCCCGUCUUGGUCCAGCUCGGACAAGCGGGCCUCAGAGCUGCUGCACCUGAUAGAUUUAACCUAACGGGUAAAACUGGACCUACACUAGGCCACUCUCAGGCUGAUUCAUCACGGCAUCGCCAGCGCAGCAAAUGCCGCUACCGAGAAAACACCGACAGACUGGGGGACAUCACUGUUGCCACAGCAACUAGCUGAAUCACGAUUUCCGGUCUGAUGAGCGAUAUUUCAAAAUAAAAGCAGUGCUUUAAUUUAAACGUAUAUACAUGAGAGUUGAUUAAGGAUUAGACUUGUUAAUCUCCUGACGAUUUCUUGGUUAAUCAACAUAUUGUUUGGUUAGUAUAGUGACA